GGUGACUCCCGACGCCAUAUCCUCCUUCACCGAGCGGUUGUACAUGACACUAGACAACUGAGAGACCGGCGGCGGCAGAAAAUUCAAAUUGUCCUGGUGCUUGUGGUGGUUAUUUCGGGGAGGAGAUCGGAGUGGAGAGUAGUACUUGUCAAGUGAGACGGCGACGAUGGCCUUAGAGAGGGAGUCGGGCGGGGGAAAGGGUGAGUCGGAACGGAAUGGUGAGUCGGAGUGGAGGGGUGAGUGAAAUGACUCAACUUGACUGGUUUGUGAAUCGGCGUCGGACAUUGAUCUGUUCUUGGUGCUAUUGAUCUUCUUCAUGGUGGUAUUGUGGCUGUUGGUAUUGGGUUGGUUCUCCAUUUUAAACUCCUCCUCUGGUCUUUCCCACUUUCUCUGUUUCGUGAAUUUUCUGGGGAAAAGGAAAGCAACUGAAAGAAAGAGAAAAAACCAAUGGGCAAUUCAACCUCUCUCUUUUUCUUUUCUUUUCUUUUUUUCCCUGGGGCCUCGGAAAAGAAAGUGUAGGGAAUUAUUAUUCCACGUGGCAAUGGACUAGUAGUUGAGAGAAG
rnacentral:lncRNA from 1 species